CCGCGUGGCCCCAGAGCCGCUGGAAACCGAGGACAAGCCCCCUGCCUCCUUCCGAAUCCUGCCCCUUUCGCACCCCCCACCCCCAGCCAACACGAGGAGUGUUUGCUGCUGUGAGAUCACCUGCUCCCCACACCCAACAACAAAAUUAAAUAACACCACGGGAGGGAAGAGAGGGAGGGGGAGGAGGGAGGAAGGGACGGGAGAGAAGAGAGACUGAAACUGGGAGAAGAGGCAGGAGAGGAGGAGGUGGGGAGAGCACGAAGCUGGAGGCCGACACAGAGAGAGGGCGGGAGGAGGUGAAGAAGGAGAGAGGGGAGAAGAGGCAGGAGCUGGAAAGGAGAGAGGGAGGAGGAGGAGAUGCUGGAUGGAGACCUGGAGUUAGGUGGCUUGGGAGAGCUUAAUGAAAAGAGAACGGAGAGGGGGUGUGGGUUAGGAACCAAGAGGUAGCCCUGGGGGCAGCAGAAGGCUGAGAGGGGUAGGAAGAUCAGGAGCUAGAGAGAGACUCGAGGGUUCCGGGAAAAGAGGAGAGGAAAUUGGAAAGGCACAGAGAGACGGAGAGGAGUGGGUUUGAAGAGGGGGGGGGGUCUCAGUCCCUGGCUGCUCUGGCAUUUGGGGAACUGGGACUCCCUGUGGGGAGGAGAGGAAAGCUGGAAGUCCUGGAGGGACAGGGUCCCAGAAGGAGGGGACAGAGGAGCUGAGUGGGGGGGCAGGGCGUUGGGCAGGGGUCCCUCGGAGGCCUCCUGGGGAUGGGGGCUGCAGCUCGUCUGAGCGCCCCUCGAGCGCUGGUACUCUGGGCUGCACUGGGGGCAGCAGCUCACAUCGGACCAGCACCUGACCCCGAGGACUGGUGGAGCUACAAGGAUAAUCUCCAGGGAAACUUCGUGCCAGGUGCCGCCAAGGCGGGGACCCAGGAGUCCGGCCCUCGCGGCGCCUCCUUCUUCAGACUCAGGAACCUGGGUUCCCAGCUCCCUCCUCCCCUCAGGACCAGGAGUCCCAGCCCCCUUCUCUGUCCCUCAGGAGUCGGGCCAGCCUCUGAACCCCAGGGGCUCACCAUGGGACAUUAUACAUGCGCAUUUCAAGUAGGCCUCCUUUCUGGGGCCUGGUGAAUGCAGCAUGGAGUCUGUGUGCGGUGGGGAAGCGACAGAGCCCCGUGGAUGUGGAGCUGAAGAGGGUUCUUUAUGACCCCUUUCUGCCCCCAUUAAGGCUCAGCACUGGAGGAGAGAAGCUCCGGGGAACCUUGUACAACACCGGCAGACAUGUCUCCUUCCUGCCUGCACCCCGACCUGUGGUCAAUGUGUCUGGGGGUCCCCUCCUUUAUAGCCACCGACUCAGUGAACUGCGGCUGCUGUUUGGAGCUCGCGACGGAGCCGGCUCCGAACAUCAGAUCAACCACCAGGGCUUCUCUGCUGAGGUGCAGCUCAUUCACUUCAACCAGGAACUCUACGGGAAUUUCAGCGCUGCCUCCCGAAGCCCCAAUGGCCUGGCCAUUCUCAGCCUCUUUGUCAACGUGGCUGGUAGUUCUAACCCAUUCCUCAGUCGUCUCCUUAACCGCGACACCAUCACCCGCAUCUCCUACAAGAAUGACGCCUACUUUCUUCAAGACCUGAGCCUGGAGCUCCUGUUCCCAGAGUCCUUCGGCUUUAUCACCUAUCAGGGCUCUCUCAGCACCCCGCCCUGCUCCGAGACUGUCACCUGGAUCCUCAUCGACCGGGCCCUCAAUAUCACCUCCCUCCAGAUGCACUCCCUGAGACUCCUGAGCCAGAAUCCUCCAUCCCAGAUAUUCCAGAGCCUCAGCGGUAAUGGCCGGCCCCUGCAGCCUUUGGCCCACAGGGCACUGAGGGGCAACAGGGACCCCCGGCACCCCGAGAGGCGCUGCCGAGGCCCCAACUACCGCCUGCAUGUCGUACUACUCUACGCUGUUCCACAAUCUGAUGCUCCUUUCCCCCUUACUGAGAAUCUACAACUGCCUCCCUGUGGUUCAGCCCAGGGAUCUCACACCCCCCGGCUUCGCAACAUGGUACAGUCCACACCCCCCAUGAAGACCUUCAGGUAGUUCAGCCUAAUGCUGAAUCUGGACAUCCCGAUUCCCCCCUCCUGUUGGCUUCUUGUGGUUCAGCCCAGUGCUUCUCGACCUGUGGAUGGUGCCCCCCAUGGUCGCUGAGACUCCCCUUCGAGUAUUGCACCCGCCCGUCCUAAGCCUCCCCACAAGGCUAGGGGAGUUACUCCUAAAACAAAGCUAUUAAAGGGACAGAACUCUU